CACAAACACUACACAAUCAAACUCCUAAACAUAUAAAUUUAUUAAACAUUCUCAUGGAACCCAUUUUCAUUAAUUAAAAUCACCAAACCUCAAGGUUCCAUGGCUAUCAAAAAUUUAAGAAUUCUUUCCUCAAAUUUUCCUUUCAAUUUCAUGCAAUUUUCACUUGAUUUAGCAUGAUAUUCAUGCUUAAAGAAGAGAUUAAAAGUUUAAAGCACUAACCUUUUUGGGUGUCUAGCUAAACUUCAAUUUUAUUAUUGCUUUUUGGUAUCUAUAGCUUUCUUA
rnacentral:misc_RNA from 1 species